rnacentral:rRNA from 1 species
CUUUUCUAAGCAAUACCGCUCUGUUAUUGGUCUGUUAUAUACUAAAUACUAAACUAAAUACUAAACAGAUACAGAUCAAAGGGGUAUCCUCUGGCAUUAGAAAAUAUUCAUCUUGACAAGAAAUUAUCUAUAUGUUAAGAUAUCUCUGAUAAGGGCUAUAGCUCAGUUCGGUAGAGCAACUCGUUUACACGUGCGCCAAUGCUUUUCAAAGGAGCUUAUUAUGCAAUGAACAUAAUCGAUCUUAUUGCAAAAUCAAUGUCUUACUUCAUAGAUUCGAGAGAAUAGGAGAACAGUAGCCUGACAAACAGUCGGUUCAGUCCGAUUCAGGUGCCAAUUCAGGUGCCUAAUCAAAUAGAACCCUUAUGGAUUUGCUAGUUGAUAAGGUAAAUAUCCAGCCCACUAAAUGCUAGGCGUAAUGUGG